rnacentral:rRNA from 1 species
UAUUGGGCAAUGGACGCAAGUCUGACCCAGCCAUGCCGCGUGCAGGAUGAAGGCGUUAUGCGUUGUAAACUGCUUUUAUACAGGAAGAAACGACUCUUGCGAGAGGCAUUGACGGUACUGUAUGAAUAAGCACCGGCUAACUCCGUGCCAGCAGCCGCGGUAAUACGGAGGGUGCAAGCGUUGUCCGGAUUUAUUGGGUUUAAAGGGUGCGCAGGUGGUUUAUUAAGUCAGUGGUGAAAGACGGUCGCUCAACGAUUGCAGUGCCAUUGAAACUGGUAGACUUGAGUAAAGUAGAGGUGGGCGGAAUUGAUAGUGUAGCGGUGAAAUGCAUAGAUAUUAUCAAGAACUCCAAUUGCGUAGGCAGCUCACAGUAUCUUUUACUACACUCAUGCACGAA